rnacentral:lncRNA from 1 species
UAGAGACGGGGUUUCACCGUGUUAGCCAGGAUGGUCUUGAUCUCACGACCUCGUCAUCCGCCCGCUUCAGCCUCCCAAAGUGCUGGAAUUACAAGUGUGAGCCACCGUGCCCAGCCUGUUUUUUUGCUUUCUAAAUGCUAUGAUCUGAAUAUUUAUGUCCCCGCAAAACUCCUAUGUGGAAACCUAAUCCCAAAUGAGUUGAGGCCUUUGGGAGGUGAUUAGGGCAUGAGGAUGGAACCCUCACAAACAGGAUUAGUGACCUUCUGAAAGAGGCUCAAGGGACUGUGCUCACCCCUUCUGCCAUGUGAGGCCACAUGCAAGGUACUAUCUAUGAGGACGGGCCCUCACCAGACAUGGAAUCUCCUGGCACCUUGAUCUGAGACUUCUCACGUCCAGAACUGUAAGCAAUAAAUGUCUGUU